UCGAAAUUCUCUCUCAUAUAGUCAAGCUUAAAUAAUUCUAUACUUGUAAUUAUUUUACGUUCGUUUAAAUAAAUGUAUGGUGUACAUAGAAUAUAAUUAAUUAAUAUUUAAACAAUGGUAUAUAAAAUCGCGGAGUAGAAUCAGUGUUGAUCGUGAUAAGAAAUUCAUCUGCAGUUUCUUAUUUUCAUCUACGUUUUAUUAAUUUCACGAGAAUUCCAAGACGCAUUAUUGUGGUACUAUUGGGCUUUAAUUCGUUUGAAAGAAACAAUUGUUUGUUCAUUUUUCUUUAUGUAACAAUGAUUCUUUUUCUUUUCAAAGAAGAAGGAAAGUAAGCUCCUCGUUGGAAGUUUUUAAAAAGAAAAUCAAAGAACUCAUCGAUCCCAUGACUACUGUGGUUGCUAUAAAAUAAGUGUGUUUUGAAGACAUCGCAGAACUUCUUUAAGUAGUGAGUCAAUUUUUAAAUCGUUCCGAUCACUUAAUCAUAUCGAAUAUAAGCAUAUUUUAGUACGUUGAUAUUUUUUGUCUUACAAUCAGUAUGAAUUAGUUUUUUUUUUAUUAUUCACGUUUUUUUGAUGGAUUAUUUUGAUGGACUAAUCAAACUAUUCAAGAUGGACUAGUUCUACAGAGUAAACUACUUAAAACAGAAAAAACGCUGGUAAUUUUACUAUCUUAUUAUUUAUUCUUAUUAAUUAUUAAUAUUAAUUUUAUUGUUUUAAGUUUCUUUGUUUCCAUGUUCUUGUACGUUCUAUUGCACCUUCUGAGUUUCUUUUUUUUCCGGAAAAGCUUUUGGGUGGAGGUUUCUUAAAAAUGAGUUUUUAUGAUUGGAAGAGGCUUUAUUAAAAGAGAUCUUUUAUAGUUAGAUGGAUUUUUUUUUCUUUCUCUUCUCUAGACUGAAUCUAUUCAUCGUUGAAGAGGGAGUUGUGAUUUCGCAUUGAUUUAGAUCUUUAUACGAAUGUUUUUGAAAUAUUUUCGUAUUGUAAAAAGAAAAAAAUGUCUUUUAUCCCGUGUAGAUAAGCUAGAAGAAGGGCAUUAUGGGCGGAGUGUGGGCGGAAACUCGCGUGGGUGUUUACAGGCGCGAUUAAGCCCAAGCUUGGUCCCCAAUGUACUUAAGUAGAAUACUCGCGUGGGUGUGUCCAGGUCACUCGCGUGAGUAUUUGUGGGUAUGAUAGGAUCUAAUCUUGGACUCCGUCGUAAGUUGCAGAAUUGCUAAAAUACGAUCGAUCGUACUUAAUAACUGAAGCUACUGAUGUUGGACGAUCUCGCUAUCUAUUAUCCAAGCUUAAAAUGUCUGCAGUUAGUAUCUGAAUUCUCGCGAAAUAACAGUGAUUUCAGUAUUUAAAUGUUAUUUUGAUGCUGCUUUGAUUGUUUAAUAAUAAUAAUAAUAAUAAUAAUAAUAAUAAUAAUAUCCAUUACCUUUAUCUCAUCGGUCUUCAGAAGAAGUGACCUCUAUGUGCGAGAUUAAGAUAUAAAUAAUAAUAAAUGGACGAUAUUAUUUUCAA